CCUACGGGAGGCUGCAGUGAGGAAUAUUGGUCAAUGGGCGGGAGCCUGAACCAGCCAUGCCGCGUGAAGGCGAGUGCCCUACGGGCGUUAAACUUCUUUUGUGCGGGAGCAAUAAGGGCCACGUGUGGCCCGAUGAGAGUACCGCACGAAUAAGCAUCGGCUAACCUCGUGCCAGCAGCCGCGGUAAUACGGGGGAUUCGAGCGUUAUCCGGAUUUUUUGGGUUUAAAGGGUUCGUAGGCGGGGCGUCAGGUCAGAGGUGAAAUACCGGGGCUCAACCCCGGGGCUGCCGUUGAAACCGGAGCGCUAGAAAUCCGAUGCCGUCGGAGGAAUGUGUGGUGUAGCGGUGAAAUGCAUAGAUAUCACACAGAACACCGAUUGCGAAGGCAUCUGACGAAUCGGAGAUUGACGCUGAUGCACGAAAGCGUGGGUAGCGAACAGGAUUAGAUACCCGGGUAGUC
rnacentral:rRNA from 1 species